CAGUCACACAUCAAAAACAUUACAGCCAGACAGCAGCAACAAGUGUGUCACAGCUGUAGAGUGCUGCCAUGGGAUUCAACAGAACAUUGUUUAUUAUUUUGUCAUUUUUCUUCAUCUUUUUAGGCUCAUCUGUCUACAUUUCAGGCCGACCAGUGUCUUACAACACUGGCAACAACAGAAACAUCAGUUGCGAUGAAGAGAGAAUAGGUGCGGAGAAUCAGUACAAUGUUAAAGAUGAUACUGAAAAAAAAAUUUCUCUGGGUAACAUCAGCAACAUUCAUAUUUCUGGAACAAACCACGGAUGCAUUGGAGGAAGGAAUAACUACACUGUGACAGGACAGAUUGCAGCCAAGUCCAAUAUUGGCAACGUCAGUAAUGUUACUGUUGGUAACAACUCGGGAUCAAUUGGUUCAGGGAACCGCAUUAACAUUAGCUGAGCUUUUCGUCUCUCUUGGGAAAUUGCUCUCCGACAGAUCGUGAACCACUCAGCUUAGACUGAUGUCUUAUAAUGGAAAUCUUACAACACAAGAAUAGAAAUGAGAGAUUCAUGCUUUGAAAUCAGAUUCAAGAUUCAUCAGCUUCAAUAUUAAAGAAACUAAAGUCAAUAUGC